UACAUAUAUUGAAAUCACGUUUGCGAUGCAAACCUUGAUUAAGGUGAUAUUGGCACUGGUAUUUCAGUCAAUGAAGUCAGUGAAGCACUCUGCUAUGAUAGCUACCUACAACUUUAGCAUGUUGACUCACUGAUAAUGGUUUAGCCCUAGCCUCUAGCUAGCUGUGCAUUAACGUUUGCAUUUUGCCAAGUGUGGUCUCAUACGUAACUUUAGUGUCUAUCUGCCAUCUUUGUAAUGAAAGCCUCGGCAUUUUAAUCACUGUUUAAGUCGGUUCAGACAACUAUUGGCAUCGGUUUGUGAUUUAUUAUGCUAACGUAACGUAACUGUAUGGAACUUGGUCCCCAUCUUCUAUUUUGUUUGUUCUGCAGCGUCAACUUUUAUCGGCUGGAUUCUAGCAUCUAACGUUACGAUUGCCUCUGUUGGGUUUGCUUGAUCAACCAUCGUUUCGGGGACUCUGAUGACAGUGAAGAGCCAGAAAAUGGUGACUUUGCAUCUCUGAGGUACCUUCCAACUCGCCUGGUAUGUCAGUUGAACCCUCAAGCCCAAGCCAAUUGCACUGGCAAACUCCACCAUCUCGCCGAGUGCCAGGCAGCCGAGUCACUACCCCUCAACCUGGAGAAAACUGUUAAGGUAAAGACUGAUCUCUGAAAUAAUAUUGAAUACAGUGGCCCCAUCUAUAUUAACACAGCAGUAGUCACUCCAUUUCAGAUCAACAGAUUGCAUCUGCAUUACCAUCUGAUAUUUUCUGCAUACUUUAUCCAUUACUUUCAAAAUCUCAGCCAAAUAUUUUGUCAGUUAA